GGCAAAGGAAAGACCAGAGCUAUAGAUUCUAAGUGGUAGAAAGUCUGAAAAGGCAUACGAGGGUUUCUCACUUAGCAAAUGAGUGAGUGCAAAUGUCGGGAGGCCAAAGCAGGAGAAUCUCCUGAGCCCAGGAGUUCCAGAUCAGCCUUGGCAAUGUAGCAAGACCCUGUCUCUAAUUCCCACCUACCCCAGCAACUGACAGUCCAGCUUUUUGCAUUUCACAUGCUGCAGUUAAUUGUCACUGUGUAUCUUGUUGGUACUCACGUUGCUAGCAGGAGCAGCAGCUGGGAUUGCUUUUAUCAGCAUCCGAGACAAGUAGGAACUGACUGUCUCUGGGCCUCGUGUCCCAGCACAUUCUAUAAUUUUAGCAAGUGCCCUGAAUGCUGUUACCCUCCAGCCUAGGGAACAGAGCAAGACUCCGUCUCAAAAAAAAAAAAAAAAAAAAAGGAAGGUUUAAUGUUCCCAUGGAGCACAACUAUUAAUUUUUAUAAUUUAUAUCAGAGAUUCUUAAACAUUCUUUUUUUUGGUCUUAUUUUUUGUUACCAUAGCAGAACAGAUUUUAAACAUUCUCGAUUCAAUUCUUCACGGCCACAGUCAAAAGAAAUACUUAAAAGUUUAUUAUGGAGAAAUUUCCUGAUUCAGGAACAGUGAGGAACAC
rnacentral:lncRNA from 1 species